CAGUCGCCGCGGUAAAACGAAGGGUGCAAGCGUUACUCGGAAUUACUGGGCGUAAAGCGUGCGUAGGCGGUUUGUUAAGUCUGUUGUGAAAUCCCCGGGCUCAACCUGGGAAUGGCAAUGGAUACUGGCAAGCUAGAGUGUGUCAGAGGAUGGUGGAAUUCCUGGUGUAGCGGUGAAAUGCGUAGAGAUCGGGAGGAACAUCAGUGGCGAAGGCGGCCAUCUGGGACAACACUGACGCUGAGGCACGAAAGCGUGGGGAGCAAACAGGAUUAGAUACCCGCGUAGUCCCUGUCUCUUAUAC
rnacentral:rRNA from 1 species